rnacentral:misc_RNA from 1 species
UCAGGCAUCAUGCGGCCGCUUCGGAUUUCGCCGGCCGCGAUAAAAACAGCCGGAAGUUACGAUUUUGGCAGUACUUCCGGGAU